UUAUCUUUCCAUCUAUGAUCAGGGACAAGUAACUCGUGGGUCACCUGCUUUUGAGGGAUACCAUUUAGUCAUCACCGUUUUGUUGCUGUGACUGAUUCGCCUACAGAAAAUAUGCACAUACCACAUAAGUAUACGUCAAUGUCUGUAAUAAUGGUAGAUCAAAUGUUUCAUCUGUGUGAAACUUUUUGCUAAUCGAAAUGUUAAACCAACCACCAAUCCAUGUACAUAGAUGCGCUACGUAAACAAAGUUGUUGAUUGAUGCAUCGUAAUGUCCGAGUGCUGCAUGAUGAGAUAUUAAAUACUGUUUAUACAGUUAUUGAGAGGCUAAACAAAGUUUCUUGCAAGAAGAGGAAGUUGGUGGAUGCAUUCAACUUGGACAACGAAAUCAUAGUUUCGUUUAGCAUCAGCCUGAGGACCAAGGGAGGUUAGAUAGGACCAGUGCAGGUUGAAGUGGAUUUCGAGUCAACAAGUAUAACAGCAAGAGAGGUACUCCAUUUACAGUAAUGAUGACAUAUCCCCUGGACCCCCACAACUCCACAAAUUUAAAAAUGUUUGAUCAAGUUCCGAAGAUUAAAGAACUACUGCAAAAUUUGGGACUGGAUGAAAAACAUUAAUUCACUUAUAUGAGCUCAGAGCAGUGGAUGUUAUACAACAUACUUUAAACUAUAUUGUGAAUUUAAGGGAAAACAAGUACAUGUACUCGUAUAUUACAAGUACAUGCCUUUUGAAAGACAAUAAUAUUGCAUAGAUGUAAAGGAAAUUUCAAUGUUGAUUAUUCUUUCUUAGAUAUAUUAGUAAAAAAUGUGCACGUGAUAGAAUAUCAAUUUUAUAACUUCAAUCAAUGUGUUGAAUUUUCCUUGUAAUUCAAAACUUAGUUGAAACAUACAUCAUAGAUACAUUAAUGUAUAUCAAAUUUUUAGAAAAGUUUCAUAAUGGAACUAAUUCACACACCCCCCCCCCCCCCCCCCCCCCCCCCUUAUACAUACAGUGAACAUAGACCUUCACCUGGGGAAAACUUCAGUUGGUUAAUGCAAUAUACAUGUACAUGCAUUCUCAGUUAUCCAAUAGUGAGUUUUUGGUUCCAUGUGAAACUACAAUUAGAAAUCUUAAACUUAUGAAAGACACACCUAUCUGUGAGGGUAAGAUGACUCAGAUGGACUUACAUGUAGUGAUCCAUGGGCAGUCCAUGGGUCUCUUUCCAUUGAUAUUAAUUAUUUAUUGAAAUAUGAAAUGGUUAUUUAAACAUAUUUGGUGUAUUAUACUGUAUAGUGAUAUAAAUUUCUAUCAAAAAAUAUGUAUAGGUAAUAGAUUUGGUCCAGUUAUUACAAGAAAUUGUAUGAAAAAUAACUAAAUAUUUAGGCAAUCAUUGCGAGUGCGAAAAGGUCAACUGCAAUAGCACACACUAUACAUCAUUCUUAAAUGGCUCAUAGAAACUUCUAGUAUUGUGAGUUUGAAUGCUCAAUAUGGUAAUUUGGGAAUGCUUAAUCAUUUAAGGUCAAUAGUUUAUCUCUGCUGACUGUAUCUCUUAAAAUUCAUUUCUAGAAGGGAGGGGGUAGGGUUACAAAAUCUGACAUAGUUUCAGAUUAAACCUCAUUUGGUAUAUUUUUUUCUAUUCAAUAUUUUAGAUACUACUUGGCUUAUUGUAAAAAUGAAAUAAAAUCAGAAAUUUUAUGAGCAGAAUUUUGUUGUUGUCAGAAAAUGUAUGCCUGAUAGUAUUUGAGAAACGCCAUAUUUAGGGUAAAUUUGGCCAAUUGCCAAGUCGAAUCAUGCCAAUGUUUUCCUUAGAUGCAUUUUGAAUUUCUAAUCCAUGUUGAUUUUUUAUCUGUUUGUGUUUAAUUUACAUAACUAUAUACAUGUAUGACAAACAAUAUUUCUGGUGUCAAUAAAAUUUUUAUUGGCUUUUGUGUUAAUUUGCUCAAUUUUGGCAUUUUUUGCCUUUUGGGGCUGCAAAAGAGGGGAUUUCAAUCUCGCUUUCCUCGAAAAUUAACCUGAUUACUUUUGUUGAAUUUUUGAUAUGUUUUAGGAUAAAGUGAAAAUGUUAUAAUAAAUAAAAUUGAAAAAAAUUCAAUGAGCGGUUUUUUGGGGGCUAGCUAUCAAUAGCUACCUUAAUGAAAAUGUGUGGGGAGUAGAGGAUAUUUGUAUAACUAAUAUCUAAACUGUGUAGUGAGUGACUCAGUGAGUGAUCUACAGCAAUUAUUGAUGCUAUUAUUAAGACUUGGACUUCUCUCUAAAAAGGGAUUCGAUCCCAAACUCAUGUUGUCCAAUGAGGAAACUGACGGCUGAUUAACAAUCUAAAGCCAGCGCUCUUUGAUUUUUUCGGCUCGCAAACUUCAAAUUUAAAGCCAUUAUUUUGAAUGUGCAUAUACAUGGGUCAUAGCGUUCAUUUUCAAAUGUUAUUUUAUAUCGGUUGUACAUCUUGACUAAAACGUUAAACCACGCCAGCCGUCUUGCUAAAGAGAUAUCUCCAAAUACCAUCAAUAAUUGACAAAUCAUACCAUUGUUCAAAGAUUGUUUUAUAGAUGUGUUCAUCAUGCACGCUCCCUGAGUCGACAUCAAAUACACAAUAUAUACACAACACAACAAGGGAUGCUUACUCCUCAUAGGCACCUGAUCCCACCUCUGGUGUGUCCAGGGGUCCGUGUUUGCCCAACUCUCUACUUUGUAUUACUGAUAGGAGUUUUGAGAUUGAUCACUGUUCGUUAUCUUCACCUUGCAUAUAUCAGUGCAAACACAUUUUAUAGAUUGUUAAAGCAUCAUGAAUUACUAUUUGUUUGUGUAUCAAGGAUUACUUUUAAUCUGUAUAUCAAGGAUUACUAUUUGUAUAUCAAGGAUUAUCAUUUGUUUGUAUAUCAAGAAUUAUUGUUUGUAUAUCAAGGAUUACUAUUUGUUUGUAUAUCAAGGAUACUAUUUGUUUGUAUAUCAAGGAUUACUAUUUGUUUGCAUAUCAAGGUUUAUUAUUUGUUUGUGUAUCAAGAAUUAUUAUUUGUUUGUAUAUAAAGGAUUAUUAUUUGUAUAUCAAGGAUUACCAUUUGUUUGUGUAUCAAGGAUUAAGUAUUGUUUGUAUAUCAAGAAUUAUCAUUUGUUUGUAUAUCAAGAAUUAUUAUUUGUAUAUCAAGGAUUACUAUUUGUGUGUCAAGGAUUACUAUUUGUUUGUAUAUCAAGGAUUAUCAUUUUUUUGUAUAUCAAAAAUUAUUUGUUUGUGUAUCAAGGAUUAUUAUUUGUUUGUGUAUCAAGAAUUACUAUUGGUUUGUGUAUUAAGAAUUACUAUUGGUUUGUGUAUUAAGAAUUACUAUUUGUUUGUAUAUCAAGGAUUACUAUUUGUGUAUCAAAGAUUACUAUUUGUUUGUGCAUCAAGGAUAUUUUUUUUAUCAAGGAUUACUAUCUGUUUAUCCAGGAUUACUAUUUUUUUUAUCAAGGAUUACUAUUUUUUUUAUCAAGGAUUACUAUUUGUUUCUGUAUCAAGGAUUACAAAUUUUUUUUUAUCAAGGAUUACAAUUUUUUUUUUUUAUCAAGGAUGACUAUUUAUCUAUCAAGGAUUAUUAUUUAUUUGUGUAUCAAGGAUUACUAUUUGUGUAUCAAGGAUUACCAUUUAUUUCUUUAUCAAGGAUUACUAUUUGUUUGUUUAUCAAGGAUUAUUAUUUGUUUAUCAAGGAUUACAAUUUGUUUGUGUAUCAAGGAUUACCAUUUAUUUGUGCAUCAAAGAUUACUAUUUGUUUGUUUAUCAAGGAUUACUAUUUGUUUCUUUAUCAAUGAUUAUUAUUUGUUUAUCAAGGAUUACUAUUUGUUUGUGUAUCAAGGAUUACUAUUUGUUUAUCAAGGAUUACCAUUUGUUUGUGCAUCAAAGAUUACUAUUUGUUUGUGUAUCAAGGAUUACCAUUUGUUUGUGUAUCAAGGAUUAUUAUUUGUUUGUGUAUCAAGGAUUACCAUUUAUUUGUGUAUCAAAGAUUACUAUUUGUUUGUGUAUGAAGGAUUAUUAUUUGUUUGUGUAUCAAGAAUUAUUAUUUGUUUGUGUAUCAAGGAUUACUAUUUCUUUGUUUAUCAAGGAUUACCAUUUGUUUGUGUAUCAAGGAUUACUAUUUCUUUGUGUAUCAAGGAUUACCAUUUGUUAGUGUAUCAAGGAUUAUUAUUUGUUUGUGUAUCAAUCUUCUGUUAUGACCUAUUGUAACAUUUGAACUCUAACCACCCCAACUUAUCUUAAGAAUGCCCGUGGGGAUCCGGGUUAGAAUAGGUUUUCGGUACCCCCUUGCUUGUCGUAAGGGGCAACUAAAUGGGGCGGUCCAUCGGAUGAGACUGCAAAAACCAAGGUACCGUGUCACAGCAGGUGUGGGACAAUAAAGAUCCCUCCUUGCUCAAAGGUCAUAGGCACGGUGCAUAGGCCUAAAUUUUGCAGUCCUUCACCGACAAUAGCGACGUCUCCAUGACUGAAAAGUUCUCGAGCGGAUACAAUAGUGUGGUAGUAUUCUGGCGGUCUUGUAGUGAAAUAGUUUGAAUAAUCUGUGUCUCAGGAAAGGCCCUCACCACUCCAAUCCUCAGGACAUUAUCACUUUAACAAUAGAACAUUCACUCUAGCAAUGAAACUGCACAUUUGUCAGUUUUCAAACUAUGAAUAUGAUUGCCUGGAGUAUUAAAAAUGGGAGAAAAAAGACUGAAUAUUUACCCAACUAGAUACAUACUAAGGUACGAACCAAAUUCACCUGUGGAGAUCAAUCAAUUGGAGUGCAUGAUGAUUCAUUGAAAAGAGAUGCGAAUCCCGACAGGAAGGGUCCUUUAAAUACAUUUAAUACAACCUGUCAUUGUGUGAAAGGCUGUCUGACAUGUUUCAUUGCGAGUAUUACACCGUUCUUGGUACACUAAUAUCGACUACGGAUUACUUUGUUUACAUCAUCAAGCUAUAGGGCUCACGGCGAGUAUGACCGGUCAACAGGGGAUGCUUACUCCUCCUAGACACCUGAUACCACCUCUGGUAUGUCUAGGGGUCUGUGUUUGCCCAACUCUUUAUUUUGCAUUCCUUAUAAGAGUAAUGAGAUUGAUUACUGUUCGUUAUCUUCACCUUUCAUCUAUCAAUGUUAUGUAAAAUUUAAAGGAUCAACACCUUCUCAUACAUAAAGUAAUCCCGGUAAAGCUUCUGGAGAGAUACCCUACAAUCCUCAUCAGGAGGACCACACAUCGCCCACUUUUUAGGAUUAGACGGUUCUACCUUGCACGCAAGAUGCAUGGAUCAAUAUUCACACAAAAAGAAACAACUUGAAUUCAAACAAACUUACAUGAAGAUGCUUUCAUUCUCAUUUGACAUACUAUGCUCUACACAAUGUGGCUGUUCUAGAGAAGAUUUUAAAAUGGUUCCUACCAGGUCGUGGCGAUUCUGUGGUAGAAACUUGUGACUGGGAGAUGGUAGGUUCCAGCUUCGAUCAUACUUUGGUCACGAAAAAUUUCGGUCAAUCUACUUCGGUAAUCCAUCCUGCCUUCCUCUUACACAUUUUUAUGGCAGCAUAUUCAGAAUACUUGUACAUGUAUAAUAAGCCUUUAAAAAUCCGUAGACAAUAUGCUACGGUACAUCCAGGUGUCAUGCUAUGCAAACCUGAAUCUCUGAGUAGACACCAUCUAAAUCUCGAUCCUCAAUAAAAAAAAAAGACACAACCAAUUUAGUUUUUUUUCAUAAACUUUCUUUCACUUUUUUUUAUUUGUUUUCCUUUGUAAAACCUGCCCUGCAUGAAAAAGAAAACAUAGCUUGGAUAUAUAAACAUGAUGCUUCAUUUAGCAGACAUUACUUCUUGCAAUUAGUCAAACUGUCCCAACGAGAGUCUUUAACUGGUAAUCUUGAAAAUGAUACUUUUAAAACUACAAAAGUCAAGUUUACAUCAAAUCCAAGUAUCAAACGCUCUUAGCACAGUUCAAUAUAUCGUAUUUCCUGCAGGUAAUUUCCCAUUCUACAUGUCUGUUGAUAUACACUAUAUACCCGUGUGAUGUUUAACAUGAAAAUUGUAUCACCAUGAAAAGAUUGAGACCACGUACAUGUACAAGCAUUGUGUUAUAUUUAAACACUAUCUGCAAUCUUGUGAAAAAAGAAAACUUUUUAUAAAAUACACACCUACAUUGUACAUAUUAAAUCACGAAAGAAAUCGCCCCACAUAAGAAGCAGUCCAUGCAAGAAUCCGGGGAAAAAAAGUAGUCCAACAUGAAUUACGAAAAAGGUGAUUGAUAUUUUACAAACCCAGCA